rnacentral:misc_RNA from 1 species
AAGUCGUAACAAGGUUUCCGUAGGUCAUUAGGUUUGCCUACGCUCAAGAGUCUAUUUUAAAUAGGCAACACCUUCAUCCUGCUAGGAUAUACGAAUGUAUUACUAGCGGCUCAUUUGAGUUCACAGGUCAAAUAGAGGUGGCCCUUAAGGGUUAAGAUAUGAUCGAGCACUGGCUUUAACAAGCCUUUUAUAUGUGGAACCUGCGGAAGGAUCAUUACAGAGAAAAUACCCCUUUUAGGGUAUAUCUCCCACCCUUUGUUUACAAUACCAUUGUUGCUUUGGCAGGCCCGUUUAAGUACC